GAGAAAACAAGCAUUGUUGCUAUUUUCUUAGACUUUGGGGCUGCCUGAACUGAAAGAUCUGGAUUGUGAGAUUUAUGAGGAAUCCAAGAUGAAUUUGGAGCAGGAGAGGCCGUUUGUCUGCAGUGCCCCAGGCUGCUCCCAGCGCUUCCCAACAGAGGACCAUCUGAUGAUUCAUAGGCACAAGCAUGAGAUGACUUUGAAGUUUCCCUCAAUAAAAACAGACAAUAUGUUAUCAGGUAAG